ACCGCGGCUGCUGGCACGAACUUAGCCCGAGCUUACUGUGGAUCGGUCAACCUUUCGGCUUCGUCCCCACUUUCGCGCUUUACAACCCGAAGGCCUUCAUCGCGCACGCGGCGUCGCUCGUUCAGGCUUUCGCCCAUUGACGAAGAUCCUCGACUGCAGCCACCCGUAGGUGUCUGGCCAGUGUCUCAGUGCCAGUGGCGCAGGUCGUGCUCUCACACCUGCUACGCAUCUUAGCCUUGGUGGGCCGUUACCCCGCCAACUAGCUAAUACGACAUGGGUCUCUCCCGGAGCGAGAUUCUUUACCAGCACGGUGAUGCCACCACGCUGGGCCAUCAAGAAUUACCCGUCCGUUAGGACGGCUAUGCCUGACUCCAGGGUAAGUUACCCAUGCAUUACCGCCCCUUUCGCCACUUCCCCCACUCAGUUACCCAAAUGGGAUUCGUUCGACUUGCAUGCCUAAUCCACGCCGCCAACGUUCGUU
rnacentral:rRNA from 1 species